ACAUAAAAGAUUAAUAAUUUUUACUAAAAAUGUAUUUUUAUUCUAAUUUCUCAAUGUGUUUUAAAUAUUUAAAUAUUAAUAUCGUGAUUUCAGAUUUAUAUAAUAUAUUUAAAGUUUGUAUCAAGUAAUUUUCUUGUGCACAGGAACACAGUGCUCAUUAAAAUUAAACACACAAUCGGCAUCAAGGUGAUAAUGGAUAAUUUUGAUAAUAUAAAUUAUCAAUAACAAUUUUAGCAGAUUUUGAUAACAAUCCAGUUGGUGACACUGUUAACCGUAUGCUUAUGAUUUUAUUUUUUGAGAUAAAAUUUUUAUUAAAAAAGUAAAGGUUACAAAUUUGUUUGCAAUCGCAAGGAAGAAAGAAGCUGAAAUUUCAUAAGCUAUAAAUCUUUAUACAUUAAACAUUUUAUUACUUCAAUUUACUUUAUAAUCAUGUUGGGUUUAUCGAAAUUAGCUCAGCCUAUGGCCAAGCAAUCCCUUCAAGUAAUGUCCAAGAGAACAAAUAUUACUGUUAACGGUCCACCUCAAGUCAGAAUGCCAAAAUGGCAACAAUUGCUUAUUGGAGGUUCUGCAUCUGGAUCAAUCUUGAUCAUACCUAUAUGGGUUCUGUAUGACUUAAAGAGUCUUCCACGAGCAUAAUUACUUUACUUCAUGUUUUUGUUGCAUUAUUAUAAAAUUAGAUAUGUACUAUGUAAACAUUUUUUUCUAUAGAAAUAAAAUGAAAUUGUAGUUGAAAUACUACCAACUGUAUAA